rnacentral:rRNA from 1 species
UACGGAGGGUGCGAGCGUUGUCCGGAAUCACUGGGCGUAAAGGGCGCGUAGGCGGCCUGAUAAGUAGGGGGUGAAAAUCCUGCGGCUUAACCGCAGGGCUGCCUUCUAAACUGUCAGGCUGGAGCACAGUAGAGGCAGGUGGAAUUCCCGGUGUAGCGGUGGAAUGCGUAGAGAUCGGGAAGAACAUCAGUGGCGAAGGCGGCCUGCUGGGCUGUUGCUGACGCUGAGGUGCGAAAGCGUGGGAGCAAACAGG